UUGAAAAAUGAUUCUGCAUGAUGAAGACGAGGAGGAAAUAAACUAAAGAAAAACACACAUUUCAAACCAAACCACUGACAAUGGGAAAACCUGCUUCCUCUGGCCUCUCUCAGUUCAGAGAGUUCAAACUGAAUUUAAACAAGUAAUUGACUUGUCACUGGG